rnacentral:lncRNA from 1 species
CUGACCGCAGUGUGCAGUUCGGGGCCAGGCUCAAUGUGGGUGGAGUCAAAUGCGUUUAACCCGAACCCUUCCCGUCUCCUUCAAGGUCACCCAAGUUGAGGUUCACGUCGAAGGUAUCAACGUCAACGAAAGCGAAUCUUAGUCGAACCUAACCUAACCUACAUGGAUAAAAAUAUAAACCAUGGAAGUAAGUGAUACUGUCAUUAUGCAUAAUUUACUUCGUAAUAUUCAUGUUAUACCAGUUCAGUGGUAUAUUUUUAUAUAACCAACUACCGCACCGAUGUUAGCAUAGAGUUAAUUAGCCCCCAUUUGCACGUGAGCUAGCUAAUUGCUUACAAUGAGGGAAUCUUAUAUUUUCAUAUUGAAUGUAUGUCAUUCACUCACUGAGGUCUGAAGAAAAGAGAGGUGGAAAGAUGGAAAAAGGCAGCAAAACAAAACACACUACAGGUAGGUGUCAUGAUGAGUGGUAUAGUCUUAAACCAAUAUUUAUAGACUUCAAUAUAUUUCAGGAUGAUGUAGAAGACGCCCCCCCCCAAGAAGUCACAGCAUGUCACAUCAGCAUCCAGCUCUGCAGGAUCAGACGAUACUGAAAACAAAAUGCACGGCGAACUGGGAGCUGUGAACUGGAAGUUGAUGUUCUUCUAAGGGACACCCUAGAGGCAGCAAGGUGGUGCAAACUCCAAACAUUUAAAGGCACUGUUUCCCUCCCUAGUGUAAUUGGGAUGGACGGGGGAAAAUCGCAUUACAACCCUUAAAGAACUACGGUUGUAUGAUGGCCUGGAUGAAGAGGAAAAUAUUCUCCUCAAGGAACCAUUCAUGUUACAGAAAGAUUGAGAUGUUCUAUGUGGAGGCAGUUAACAAGAAAAUGACUUUGCCUCUUUUGAGGAGCAGGAGUGAAGCCAUUUUUGAGGAGUGGUCAAACCUUGUUUUUGUCUGCUGUGUUAAUUGUGUUAUGUUGUUUAGUAAAGAUGACGUAGA